GGAUUACAACCAAAUUCCCAUUAGCAAUCGCUGAAGGACUUUCCUGAGGUGGAGAUGGAGGGUCAAGAGCAGUGUGGACAGAUUAGGGUUGUGAAGAUUGAAUCAAUGGAAUCGUGGAAUUUCUACUUGACCAAAGCCACUCAUCAAGACUCUCUUAUUGUUGUGCACUUCACUGCUUCUUGGUGUAUGCCUUCGGUUGCCAUGAAUCCAUUCUUUGAAGAACUAGCAUUUACCUACCCGGAUGUUAUGUUUCUCACUGUCGAUGUUGAUGAGGUUAAGGAAGUGGCUGCUAAACUGGAGAUAAAGGCAAUGCCAACUUUCUUGGUGAUGAAAAAUGGUACUCAGAUUGACAAGCUUGUGGGUGCAAAUCCAGAAGAGAUAAGGAAAAGGAUAAGCGCAUAUUUUGAGGCUAUACAUGUUGCAUAAUGUAAUGUUUUUAUGGUUGGUGGUGAUGUAUAUUUUGGUGUUGUAAUAUAUGGUUGUGGUUUUUGCAUCAGAUGGAGACAAGGUGCUGGCUUGGCUCUUAUUUAUGUGGUUUCACUAUCUCAUCAUGUAAAUUCAAGUUUUUUUGAACUGUUUUGCAUUCUGUUUAAUUAAAUCUACCAUGAUGUUAUUA
rnacentral:misc_RNA from 1 species